rnacentral:rRNA from 1 species
UUUGAAAUCUGGCCUUCGGGUCCGAAUUGUAAUUUGCAGAGGAUGCUUUUGGCGCGGUGCCUUCCGAGUUCCCUGGAACGGGACGCCUUAGAGGGUGAGAGCCCCGUACGGUUGGACGCUAAGCCUUUGUAAAGCUCCUUCGACGAGUCGAGUAGUUUGGGAAUGCUGCUCUAAAUGGGAGGUAAAUUUCUUCUAAAGCUAAAUACCGGCCAGAGACCGAUAGCGCACAAGUAGAGUGAUCGAAAGAUGAAAAGCACUUUGAAAAGAGGGUUAAAUAGCACGUGAAAUUGUUGAAAGGGAAGCGUUUACGGCCAGACCUUUUCCUGGCGGAUCAUCCGGUGUUCUCACCGGUGCACUUCGCCAGGUUUAGGCCAGCAUCGGCUUUUGUAGGGGGAUAAAAGCACUGGGAAAGUGGCUCCUUCGGGAGUGUUAUAGCCCUAAGCAUAAUACCUUUACAGGGGCCGAGGACCGCGCUUUUGCAAGGAUGCUGGCGUAAUGGUCGUCAACGACCCGUCUUGAAACACGGACCAAGGAGUCGAACAUUUGUGCGAGUGUUUGGGUGUUAAACCCUCACGCGUAAUGAAAGUGAACGGAGGUGAGAGCCCUUUAGGGUGCAUCAUCGACCGAUCCUGAUGUCUUCGGAUGGAUUUGAGUAAGAGCAUAACUGUUCGGACCCGAAAGAUGGUGAACUAUGCGUGGAUAGGGUGAAGCCAGAGGAAACUCUGGUGGAGGCUCGCAGCGGUUCUGACGUGCAAAUCGAUCGUCAAAUCUGCGCAU